AUUGAACGCUGGCGGCAGGCCUAACACAUGCAAGUCGAGCGAGCGGCGGACGGGUGAGUAAUGUCUGGGAAACUGCCUGAUGGAGGGGGAUAACUACUGGAAACGGUAGCUAAUACCGCAUACCAUCAGAUGUGCCCAGAUGGGAUUAGCUAGUAGGUGGGGUAACGGCUCACCUAGGCGACGAUCCCUAGCUGGUCUGAGAGGAUGACCAGCCACACUGGAACUGAGACACGGGCCAUGCUCCUACGGGAGGCAGCAGGGGGGAAUAUUGCACGAUGGGCGCAAGCCUGAUGCAGCCAUGCCGCGGGUGUGAAGAAGGCCGUCGGGUUGUAAAGCACUUACAGCGGGGAGGCGUUACCCGCAGAAGAAGCACCGGCUAACGCCGUGCCAGCAGCCGCGGUAAUAC
rnacentral:rRNA from 1 species